AACGAACGCUGGCGGCAGGCUUAACACAUGCAAGUCGAACGCACCGCCAGGGGAGUUGCUCACCGGUGAGUAACGCGUGGCUAUCUGCCUUUUGGUUCGUAAUCACCCCGGGAAACUGGGGUUAAUACCGGAAGGUUCCUACGGGAUAAAGUUUUAUCGCCAACCGAUGAGUCCGAGUACGAUUAGCUAGUUGGUAAGGUAAUGUCUCACCAAGGCGACGUUCGUCAGCUGGUCUGAGAGUACGAUCAGCCACACUGGAACUGAGACACGGCCCAGACUCCUACGCGAUGCAGCAGUGGGGAAUAUUGGACAACGGCGUCAACGCUGAACGAGCCAUGCCGCGUGAGUGAUGAAGGCCUGCGGGUUGUAAAGCGCAAUUGGCGGUGACGAUGUUGACGGUACCCGAAGAAUAAGCCACGGCUAACUACGUG
rnacentral:rRNA from 1 species